GGGAAAACUUACCGGGUCCGGACACACUGAGGAUUGACAGGCGAAGUAAAUAUGCUAGUCCUUUCAUGAUUGUGUGAUAGGUGGUGCAUGGCCGUUCUUAGUUCGUGGAGUGAUCUGUCUGCUUAAUUGCGUUUCAGAUAAAAUUGGACACGUGUAGUGAUAGUGUGUUUAGUGUAACAGCUAAUACAUUUAACUCUCUGUCCAUUGAAAGCAACGA
rnacentral:rRNA from 1 species